GGUAAUUAAGAUUAAAGAUGUAUCGGUGUACGAUGGGGAUGCGCUCCAUUAGGUAGUAGGCGGGGUAACGGCCCACCUAGCCCACGAUGGAUAGGGGUUCUGAGAGGAAGGUCCCCCACAUUGGAACUGAGACACGGUCCAAACUCCUACGGGAGGCAGCAGUGAGGAAUAUUGGUCAAUGGACGAGAGCCUGAACCAGCCAAGUAGCGUGAAGGAUGAAGGUCCUACGGAUUGUAAACUUCUUUUAUAAGGGAAUAAAACCUCCCACGUGUGGGAGCUUGUAUGUACCUUAUGAAUAAGCAUCGGCUAACUCCGUGCCAGCAGCCGCGGUAAUACGGAGGAUGCAAGCGUUAUCCGGAUUUACUGGGUUUAAAGGGAGCGCAGACGGGUCGUUAAGUCAGCUGUGAAAGUUUGGGGCUCAACCUUAAAAUUGCAGUUGAUACUGGCGUCCUUGAGUGCGGUUGAGGUGUGAGGAAUUCGUGGUGUAGCGGUGAAAUGCUUAGAUAUCACGAA
rnacentral:rRNA from 1 species